GAUGAAGAACGUAGCGAAAUGCGAUAAGUAAUGUGAAUUGCAGAAUUCAGUGAAUCAUCGAAUCUUUGAACGCACAUUGCGCCCCCCGGCAUUCCGGGGGGCAUGCCUGUUCGAGCGUCUCCAGGACGAAUCCUCGCGCGAGUGAACGCGCGGUCGUGGCGGAGGUGGCGUGCCCGAGCAGGGCGGCCACCGCGCUGGAAUCCAUGGGCGGACGCCUGCCGCGUGGCCGAGCGUGAUAUGACGCAUUGGCGCGCGUGCGCGGCGAGGCUGCCAGCCCUGGCCCGUCUGUCGGGCGGGGUAGAUCACCACGUGGGAACUCCGCGAAUCAGGUAGGGAUACCCGCUGAACUUAAGCAUAUCAAUAAGCGGAGGA
rnacentral:misc_RNA from 1 species